GACGAACGCUGGCGGCGUGCUUAACACAUGCAAGUCGAACGGUGAAGCGCCUUCCUUUUUGGUUGGUGUGGAUGAGUGGCGAACGGGUGAGUAACACGUGAGUAACCUGCCCCCUUCUUCUGGAUAACCGCAUGAAAGUGUGGCUAAUACGGGAUAUUCUGGGUCUGUCGCAUGAUGGGUCUGGGAAAGAUAUUGUUUCGGUGGGGGAUGGGCUCGCGGCCUAUCAGCUUGUUGGUGGGGUGAUGGCCUACCAAGGCGGUGACGGGUAGCCGGCCUGAGAGGGUGGACGGUCACACUGGGACUGAGACACGGCCCAGACUGCUACGGGAGGCAGCAGUGGGGAAUAUUGAACAAUGGGCGCAAGCGUGAUGCAGCGACGCCGCGUGAGGGAUGGAGGCCUUCGGGUUGUGAACCUCUUUCGCCAGUGAAGCAGGCCUGCCUCGUUUGUGGGUGGGUUGACGGUAGCUGGAUAAGAAGCGCCGGCUAACUACGUG
rnacentral:rRNA from 1 species